UCAUCGGUGGUUCAGUGGUAGAAUGCUCGCCAGCCACGCGGGCGGCCCGGGUUCGAUUCCCGGCUGAUGCA
rnacentral:tRNA from 1 species